rnacentral:lncRNA from 1 species
AAAAAUAUGCAAAAUAAAUAUAUAUUUUACCUUGCUAACAAUAUGUUUGUUAUGCUAUUUUGUCAUCAUUUCUUAGAUUUUAGUUCGAUGAAAUCAGCUGUCAUAAACAUCGCAUGACAUUCUAAUAAUUUCCCGUAAACAAAAAGGGGGGGGGGGGGGGGGGGGGGUUGCAAAAUUAACGAAAACACGAAAUUAAAUCCUCAUUUCACAAACAUGAAAAAUAGAUUCACGUAGCUCUUAAUCAAUUCCAGAAAACUUGGUGAAUUAUGAUCUUCAAGCACGAAAACUGAUAAAGAAAAAAAAAUGUAAAAACGUCGUGCGAAAAAUAAUUUUCAACAACACGUGUCAACAAAUGUAAUAGACUCGUCCACUGGAAAAACAAGAAUAUCAGGUUAAUCUGUUGUCAUGCAUUCCCGUUUUUAUCCAAAUGGACGAUAUUUUUUUAUUAUUAAUGAAACAUGAAAAUUGCAAAUGAUUAUUUAAUAUAUUCAGUACUUUAAAUUGACGUCUUCCACCUGUCCACAUUUGGACAAGUCUAUUUCUAUCAGAUGAUGCAUCUUACGAAAUGAUGACAAAUACAGGAAACGAACUUAUUGUGUAAUUGGUUUUAAACACAGGUUUCGUUUCGCAAAAUUAUUUCCACAAACGACAUUUCAAGGUCAGUUAUAAUUGAUUUGUCUAUUUUUCGAACGUAAAUUUUGAUAGCGAUAAAUGCAUUUCAUUUCAUAAAAAAAAGAAUAUUUAAUUAUUUUUCAGGGAUAAUGCAUUUGUAAGGGUCGGCGGGAAUAAAAAAGCAUGAAAAGUGAAUUUUAUUUUUAUUCUGGAAAUCGGCAAAAUAGGGUCGGCGGAUCCGUAAACCAAC